rnacentral:lncRNA from 1 species
GGUUGCACCUGUGGCACAGGGAAGUUCCUGGGCUAGGGGCUGAAUUGGAGCUGCAGCUGAGGCCUACACCACAGCCAUAGCAAAACCAGAUCUGAGCCACAUCUGCAACCUAUGCCAUGCCCCUGGCACAACGCCAGAAUCCUUGACCCACUGAGCAAGGCCAGGGAUCGAACCUGCACUCUCAAAGACACAAUAUUGGGUCUUUAAUCUGCUGAGCCAUAAUGGGAACUCCCUCUUUCUUACUUUUUUUUUUUAAGCAAGAAUAUUAAAAGAGAGAACUUACAAAACUCAAGAGAUAUGGAGAAGAAUUAGAUCUAAUAACUUUUUGAAUUUACCUCAUAUUAGAUAAUCUUUUUGAAUGCAAUUCUACAUCUAUCUAAAGAAACUAUCCCUUUAAAAUUCAAACAACAUGAACUUAGUUCUCUGCCUUUCUCAGAUUUUUAAAAACAGUACUUGGUCAUUAAAGCUUACAGAGUCACAAAACAUGGGCCACACAAAACCCGCACACAAAAACGUUCAUUGCGGAGAGUUCCUGUUGUGGCUCAGUAGUAACAAACCCUACUACUAUCCAUCAGGACGAGGAUUCAAUCCCUGGCCUCGCUCAGUGGGUUAAGGAUCCAGCAUAGCCAUGGGCUGUGAUGUAGGUCACAGACGCAGCUCAGAUCUGGGUGUUGCUAUGGCUGUGGCUUAGGCCAGCGCCUACAGAUCCAAUUCAACCCUAGUCUGGGAACUUCCAUAUGGCACAGGUGUGGCUCUAAAAAGACAAAAUAAAAAAAUAAAAAGAGAGAGAGAGGAAAAAUGUUCAUUGAAUCAUUAUUCAUUAUGGCCAAAACAUGGAAAUAACCCAAAUGUCCAUCAAAUGAUGAAUGAAUAAGCAAUGGAAUAUUAUUUGGCAAUGAAAAGGAAUGGAGUACUGACAAAUGUUGCAACAUGGAUGAAUCUCAAAAAUAUCACGUUAAGUGAAAAAAGACAGGCACAGAAGACUACAUAUUGUAUGGUUCUACUUAUAUGAUCCAAGGAUAGGCAAGUCUAUAGGGACAGAAAGUAGAUUAGUAGUUGCAAGGGGAUGAUGGAAAUGGGGAGAUUAGGGAGGUGUACACUUUAAAUGUGUGAAUGAAUCUCAUGGUAUAAAAAAUAUAUCUCAAUAAAGCUGUUUUUUUAAAAAAAGAGGACAAAGAGAAAAAUUCCCACAAUCACAAGUUAAUGACUGCUGUUUUUAAGAAUGACUAUUGCGGAGUUCCCGUCGUGGCGCAGUGGUUAACGAAUCCGACUAGGAACCAUGAGGUUGCGGGUUCGGUCCCUGCCCUUGCUCAGUGGGUUAACGAUCCGGCAAAGGUCACCAAACCUCCUGGGUGCAGAGGAAGAAUUUUCAAAUUUUUGAAAUCAAACUUUUCCAAUUUAUGGAAAUUACAGUUCUUUCAAAUUAACGAUACAACUACCUUGCAUCAACUGGUACACAUAAUGAUGCACAUAGGCAAACAGUAAUAAAGGCAAAUUUUACCAGUGUGCCAGCAAUUCAGUUUAAAUGAGAUGAAAAAGAAAAAUAGUAUUAUGUAAAAUUAGGAUAAAAGUAAAUUUAGAGAAAGGGGUUGUUUGGGAAUUAUAAUGUUGUUUCCCACUAAUUUCACUUUCUUCCUUUUUCAGGUCUAUAAGAACAAAUACAAUUCAUCUUCUACCCAUAGUGGCCAGCCUUACUUUCUGAUAAGAGGCAAGAGCUACAGAGACCUUGGGCAGCCACUUUGACUUGCUAUCUUUUAGCUCUGUAAGUAAUCAAAUAUCUGAAUCCUGGUCCCCAUGCUUGUAACAAAAGAAUAAUAUCACCAGUUUGACCAAGUUUUUGAGGACAGUGAACAAUAUGUAAACCCUGGAGCACAGUGCCAACACACAUGGAGGCCUGGGGCAAAGUAGGCACAGGCUGGCAUGAUGGACAUGGGACCAUCCGGCUCCUCGCAAAGAAAGACUUUUGGCACUGAUGGGAAAUGUCACAGAAUCCUUGUCAGGCAUGAUCUCAAAGGGGCUGCAGUUAAGGGAAGGACAUGGCCAAACCUACCAGAUGCUGAAAAUCAAGGAGGGCCUUUGCUAGAUGCCUCAUUAGAAUGCCAACAAGUGGUAUGGUUGCCCUUGGCUUUAAGGACACAAAGUAUACUUAUUUUCAAAUAUGAAAAUGAGAAUUAUUGUCUACUGAGGACAAAGUUAACAAAUGGGGUUGAAAUAGAAUAUAAACAAUUCCCAUUCCGCUUCUCAGAUUGCAGGACUAAUCGGGGUCUUCAGAUCAGUAAACUAGAGCUGUGAAAUU